rnacentral:rRNA from 1 species
AUUGAACGCUGGCGGCAGGCCUAACACAUGCAAGUCGAGCGGGGUUUUCGGACCUAGCGGCGGACGGGUGAGUAAUGCGUAGGAAGCUACCCGAUAGAGGGGGAUACCAGUUGGAAACGACUGUUAAUACCGCAUAAUGUCUACGGACCAAAGUGUGGGACAUUCGGGCCACAUGCUAUCGGAUGCGCCUACGUGGGAUUAGCUAGUUGGUGAGGUAAUGGCUCACCAAAGCGACGGUCCCUAGGUGGUUUGAGAGGAUGAUCGGCCACACUGGAACUGAGACACGGUCCAGACUCCUACGGGAGGCAGCAGUGGGGAAUAUUGGACAAUGGGCGCAAGCCUGAUCCAGCCAUGCCGCGUGUGUGAAGAAGGCCUUCGGGUUGUAAAGCACUUUCAGUAGGGAGGAAGCGUUGUGUGUUAAUAGUACACAGCGUUGACGUUACCUACAGAAGAAGCACCGGCUAACUCUGUGCCAGCCGCCGCGGUAACAC